CCUGUUUUGCCAGGCGUCCGGGAGCUGGAUGUUGUCUCCUGGGCUACCGAGUGUCCGCGGGUGGGUUUGGCCGCGAAGGCGUUAGGGCGGGCGAAGACAAAGAGAGAUUACAUCUUCGAGGCUCAAGUGGUUUGGGGUCUUUCACAAUUGGGUGCUUCGCCUGCUUCUCACUCUGCAUCCUCCCCCAGCCAUUUAGUUCACAGCCGCUGCUAUACCUGCUCUACGAACUGCAAACACCCAUGUUUCUGUGAGAUCCACAUUUCUCUUCAGAACCUUCGCUCCUCCACGUUUGGUUUCGCUGUCCUUUGCUGUGACAUCUAGCACUCAGGCAGCUGUUUUGUGACCAUGAGUGGAGCCAAGCAGAGAGGACAAGCCAACAUGUUGAAGAUGGAUGAGAAGAAAGAUGGGAAAGUUCCAGGGUCGCUGAUAAAUUAACCAGCCUGGGGAUAUUACAUGUGGCCUCGUGUUAUGUAAGAGAGUAAAUGUCCUUAUUAGCAACAUAUUCUACAUUUUGCAACCCAAAGCUCCCUUGGUGAUACACCUGUUGUGGCAGCUCAUCUUAAUAAAAAUGAACAUUUGAUUCA